UACGUAGGGACCAAGCGUUGUCCGGAAUCAUUGGGCGUAAAGAGCGUGUAGGCGGCUUGUUAAGUCUUGCGUGAAAUCUCGGGGCUCAACCCCGAGCGGUCGUGAGAAACUGGCAGGCUAGAGUGCGGGAGAGGAGAGUGGAAUUCCUGGUGUAGCGGUGGAAUGCGCAGAUAUCAGGAGGAACACCGAUGGCGAAGGCAGGUCACUGGGCCGCAACUGACGCUGAGGAGCGAAAGCAUGGGGAGCGAACAGG
rnacentral:rRNA from 1 species